GGAAGGAUGGCAGAACGGUAAUGCAUUGGUCUUGAAAAUCAAAGUCAUAUUGGCUUGAGGGUUCAAAUCCCUCUCUUUCCU
rnacentral:tRNA from 1 species